AAGCACAGGAACUUUGCAUUUUUUGACUUUUUUCUUUUUUUUUUCUUUAAAGCAAAAAAAAAGAAA
rnacentral:ribozyme from 1 species